rnacentral:rRNA from 1 species
CUACGGGAGGCUGCAGUGGGGAAUAUUGCACAAUGGGCGCAAGCCUGAUGCAGCCAUGCCGCGUGUGUGAAGAAGGCCUUCGGGUUGUAAAGCACUUUCAGCGGGGAGGAAGGCGUUAAGGUUAAUAACCUUGGCGAUUGACGUUACCCGCAGAAGAAGCACCGGCUAACUCCGUGCCAGCAGCCGCGGUAAUACGGAGGGUGCAAGCGUUAAUCGGAAUUACUGGGCGUAAAGCGCACGCAGGCGGUCUGUCAAGUCGGAUGUGAAAUCCCCGGGCUCAACCUGGGAACUGCAUUCGAAACUGGCAGGCUAGAGUCUUGUAGAGGGGGGUAGAAUUCCAGGUGUAGCGGUGAAAUGCGUAGAGAUCUGGAGGAAUACCGGUGGCGAAGGCGGCCCCCUGGACAAAGACUGACGCUCAGCUGCGAAAGCGUGGGGAGCAAACAGGAUUAGAUACCCGGGUAGUC